UCUGGCCACCAGUUGCUUUCC
rnacentral:miRNA from 1 species